rnacentral:rRNA from 1 species
UAUACCGAUUGGGAGCAGGUGGCGAAUUUCGCCCGAGAAAUCGCCCAUUUAACCGACAAACCGACGCUGAAAUAAGCAUAAAGAAUAAAAAAUGCGCGGUCAGAAAAUUAUUUUAAAUUUCCCCUUGUCAGGCCGGAAUAACUCCCUAUAAUGCGCCACCACUGACACGGAACAACGGCAAACACGCCGCCGGGUCAGCGGGAUUCUCCUGAGAAUUCCGGCAGAGAAAGCAAAAAUAAAUGCUUGACUCUGUAGCGGGAAAGCGUAUUAUGCACACCCCGCGCCGCUGAGAAAAAGCGAAGCGGCACUGCUCUUUAACAAUUUAUCAGACAAUCUGUGUGGGCACUCGAAGAUACGGAUUCUUAACGUCGCAAGACGAAAAAUGAAUACCAAGUCUCAAGAGUGAACACGUAAUUCAUU